rnacentral:rRNA from 1 species
UACGUAGGGUGCAAGCGUUGUUCGGAAUUAUUGGGCGUAAAGGGCGCGUAGGCGGUUCGGCAAGUCUUCAGUGAAAUCUCUGGGCUCAACUCAGAGUCUGCUGGGGAAACUGCCGGGCUUGAGUGUGGGAGAGGAGAGUGGAAUUCCUGGUGUAGCGGUGAAAUGCGUAGAUAUCAGGAGGAACACCUGAGGCGAAAGCGGCUCUCUGGACCACAACUGACGCUGAGGCGCGAAAGCUAGGGGAGCAAACGGG